UUUAUACCGUAUUUUGAGGAAAAGGUCUGAUACUUCAGAAAACAGCACAAUCCUAGAAAUUCGUAAGUUUCUGGUCAACAUCAGAUCCAGGAACAUUACGUUGAAUGGUUGGGACUUUUUCUACGUUUCCAAAGCCAUAUUUUACGGAGUGGUUUCACAGAUUGUUUCUUAUAUAAUUUUGCUAAUUCAGUUCAAAAUAUUUCAGUAGUUGUAGAUUUACAAGAAAACUAAACUAGUGACGAUUUAUGUACCAAAAAUAAUCUGUUGUAUUUUUUUAUAACAUCAUUCGUGAAAUAUUUGUAUUAUUCUACUCUUAUAAUUUGAAAGCUAAUAACAAUUAUAAAUGAUAAACCAUAAAUUGUAUAAUAGUUACAACUUUAAAAAUAGUUAGCAAUAUAUUUGUAAGGUAGUCCACGAAAACAAGUGGGUAGCUUGUUGAAGAAAAUAUGUUGGAUGUAAAAAUGGCUUUUUAAAGUUUUUGAAAGUCUGAUUUGAGGUGUGACUAGGUUGUUUUUGUGCCUCGUGUUGUAUGGAUGAGAAUAGCUAGAAAAUUGUAAGGGGUUGUUUUUUUUUUAAUUAAAUUAUAAAGAAUGUUCAUAGAUGGCAGUGUAAGCAAAUUUAAAUUGGAAAAGUGAUCCCUACAGGAUUCAUGAUCUUGCAAUCCUAGCAUGGCUCUAAGAGCUUUCUUUUGCCAAACAAAUGCUUUCUGAGCCAAAUGUGAACCACCCCAGAGACGCAAACCAUAAAGCAGCUGUAAGUGAAACAAACCGUAGUAAGUCAUUACCAAAGUGUUAAAACUCACACAUGAUUUAAGUUUUCUCAAGAGACAGGUUAUUCUAGCCAAUCUUUUACAAAGUUGUGUAAUGUGGUUAUCCCAGCUUAGUCUGUUGUCAAGAUGGAUGC